rnacentral:misc_RNA from 1 species
UAGACAAAAACAACUUUGUAAUUUAUUUCUCAUAUAGGACAUGGACAUAAGCCAUGAUUGCCCUUCCUGGUUACUUUGAAGUGGCAUCUAGUCCUCUCAAACACCAAGCCAUAUCAUACCAAUACAUAAUUUGGACAAAUUAAUUAACCACCACGUGCCUAGCUAGUUUCAUCAAAAUUAUGAAGAUAUAAUUCUAUUAAAUUGUCCAAUUUUGCCAAACUUAAUGGUCCAACCAAUUAGAUUGGAUUCAAUCAUGAACAACUUUGAAAAUAAUUAAAUACGACGUUCUUAACAUGCUACAAAGAAGCUUACAUUUACAUACCUACAAGCUCUGUUGUUCGUCACUGAAACAAGCAAGAGAAAACAGAACCUACGAAUCAUCUGAAAUUCUCAUGCCAUAAUGAUCCGCCAAAUUUUGGGCAGUUUUAUCACUCAAGACACCUAUUAUCAUCUCAUACUUCUUAAAAUUUGCUUUUAGGGUCUCCACCUGUUGAUUAUGUAGCUUCUCUUCUCUGUUCAGUUGUUGCUUGAGCAAGAAAGAAGCUUCAGCAGCAUGCUUUUGGGUAAGGUGCUUCAGUUUCUUUGCCACCUCAAAAUCAGGGUCACUUGGGUCUAACCAACGGCAAUGUAUCUUUCUACCAGGCUUCACUGGGCGAUCAUCAAACAUCUCAGCUUCAGCAAGACGGCCCCUCACAGGUCUUGGCAUCCCAGCCAUCAUGAAAGGAAAUUGGGUUAUUGAUGAGAUAACUUUUUUGGCUUUCUCAGCAUUCUCCAUCUCUACCAAAGCACAACAAGGGAUGUUCCCAGCUUCCAAGUAGUUUGGAAUAAAGCUUACACUCUCAACAGUUCCAAACUGAUCUAAAGCCUUUUUUAAGACAGGUUCAGUAACUUGUGGUGAGAGGUUGUCAACAAAAAUUGUCCGCUUCACUUUUUCUUCAAAUGCAGCAUACUUUGCUUCAGCUGUAGGCUCCAUGCUAUAGUGCAUGCAAUCCUUGGCGAAUGAAAACCCUAGAUUCCCAAAUGCUCUUAUCAAAAACCCUUGAACAGGCUAAUAACAAAUAUUGGAGCGAAAUAACAUAUGAGAAAGAGAGGAUUAAGGAUUUUACAUUCUCUGCUAUCGAGCGAAAAACUUCGUUGCCCCAGUGAGUUAAAUGGGCUCGCCGAGAAAAGCAAUUCCUUUUCUUAUUUUUUCUGGUUAUCUGUAGCCAGGCA